GGUAAAAUGGGCAUUUAUAGAUAGAUGACAGAACUGGUACGGCAAUCAACAGAGAAAAAUGAGUUUUCAAGGAAUUAAAAAAAUAAUAAUAACCAUGUUAUUUACCUUAUCCUAUAGAACAUAAAACUGUACAUAUUUUAGAACACAGUACAAAAGAAGAUAAUCAUGACUCCAAGAUGGAGACGAAUUUCUUCAGCAAGACAUAAAAAUACCAACAAUACAGAAAAAAACUGAAACAUUUCAUUAGGAUCAGAAAGAUAAACAGACUGAGAAAAUAUUUGAAAGUUAUAACCAAAGGAUUGGCCUCCUGAAUUUAUAAGGGCGUCCUGUUAACCAAAAAAGUCUCGAACAAUCCCAUUUUUUAAAACAAGCAAAAGAUUUGAACAGGGACUUUAUAAAAGAAAAUCAAAGGGUAAGCAAAGCCAGGAGUAAACAAAUGAAUCUCAUGGAAAUGCAAAUUACACAACACUGAGGUCAAAUACACAAAUGACAAAUGUUGUCUUUCACAACAUAUACAUGGCUCUAAAAAAGUAACUGAAAUACAUUAAAAUGGUGGGAUUAUGGUGGAUUGUAUUCUUUGCAUUAUUAUUUCUCAAAUUCUUUAGUUUUGCCUUUUCAUUUUAUGCCCUGGAGAUUUUCCAAAAUCUUCAAGUCUGAGAAUACCAAAUGUAGAGCCUUCCCAUUGCUGCUGUCAAGGCAUCGAUUGCUAUGAGAAGAGUUAGUUAGGACCAGGUGGAGGUGAAGAUACACACUUCGUAUGCAAACAGUUCUACUCCUGGAUGUAUUCUCGAGAGAUCCUACACAUAUGCAAUAGGAGAGAUAUGUAAGAAUGUUCUUUGAGGGGCAUCUGGAUGGCUCAGCUGGGUAAGUGUCGGCCUUCAGCUCACGUCAUGAUCCUCUGGGUUCCCAGGUCAGAUAGAGCCCUUUGCUGGGCUCCCUGCUCAGUAGGGAGCCUGCUUCUCCCUCCUCCCUUUGCUCCUCCCCUCCUGCUCAUGCUCACUCUCUCUUUCAAAUCCAUAAAAUCUUUAAAAAAAAUGUUCAUCACUUUGUGACAGUCUAGGUGCUAGCACAGCAGAAGAGACACACACUGCAGUGUCCUCAUAUAAUGGACAGAUACACAGUAAGAGAAAACCACCACAGCCAUGAGCAUCAACAGGGAUGACUUAGCAAAACAGUCAAAGGAAAAUACAUGUACUAUUCUAAUUAUUAAAUAGGAUCUAAUACUCUAUUAAGCUUCAUUAAAGGGACCCUGGGUGGCUCAGUUGGUUAAGCAUCUGCCUUUGGCUCAGGUCAUGAUCUGAGGGUCCUGGGAUGGAGCCCCAAAUCAGGCUCAGCAGGGAGCUGGCUUCUCCCCUCCCUCUGCCACUCCCCCCUGCUUAUGCUCUCUCUUUCACCAUCUCUCUCAAAUAAAUAAAAUCUUAAAAAAAAAAAAAAGAACUUUACUGAAGUUUACUUUUGCCUGAUAUUUUUCUUAGACUAUCUUUCAGGAGCAUAAACUUCAGGACUAUUCAAAGUGUGGUCUACAAGGCCAUACUGAACUGUUACUGGUUGAAGAAGAGAUAAGCACAAAAAGAGAACAGAAAUAUGCCUAGAAAGUAGGCAGUUAAAAGGCUAAUAGUAAUUUAAUAGUGCCAAAAUAUUCAAGCAUGUGAUUUUGUAUUUACAAGGAUCAGCUUGUGAUGGUUUGGAAGUUUUUUUUAAAAAGUGGUUUCAGGGGCGCCUGGGUGGUGUAGUCACUUAAGUGCCUGACUCUUGGUUUUGGGUCAGGUCCUGAUCUCAAGGUCAUAGGGUGGGAGCCCCUCAUCCGGCUCCUCACUCAGCACAGAAUAUGCUAAAGUUUCUCUCUCCCUCUCCCUCUGCCCUGCCCCCCUUCAUGCUCUCUCUCAAAUAAGUAAUCUUUUAUUUUUUUUUAAAGUAUGUAACAGAUUUCUUUUUUAUUUACAAUCAAGUUCUGUUGGGCAACAUAAAUAAAUAAAUAAAAGAUGCUCCCUGGCCUGUGAAUUCCACCUCCCUUGAGCUCUUGGAACAGCAGGCUGGAAAGUGGGGGAGGAGGGCUGGGGAUAGAGGAUGGACAGGGCGCUUCUCCUCACCGAGCUCCAGCACUCAUACCCACAGCUGUCCAGAGAACAAUUGUGGAAGGAAAAAAAUAAAGUGCAAAUUAAAAAGUCAUGAAAGUAUUGGUGUUUCAGUCACUCAGGAACUAAAAGGAUAUACACAGGUAAAAUGGUAAAGAUAAAUGUAAAAAAAAAAAAAAAAAAAAAAAAAAA
rnacentral:lncRNA from 1 species